rnacentral:rRNA from 1 species
UACGUAGGGGGCAAGCGUUGUCCGGAUUUAUUGGGCGUAAAGAGCGUGUAGGCGGCUUUGCAAGUCCGUUGUGAAAACUCGAGGCUCAACCUCGAGACGCCGGUGGAAACUGCAAAGCUAGAGUCCGGAAGAGGAGAGUGGAAUUCCUGGUGUAGCGGUGAAAUGCGCAGAUAUCCGGAAGAACACCCGUGGCGAAGGCGGCUCUCUGGGACGGUACUGACGCUGAGACGCGAAAGCGUGGGGAGCGAACAGG